rnacentral:rRNA from 1 species
GACGAAGGGGGCUAGCGUUGUUCGGAAUUACUGGGCGUAAAGCGCGUGUAGGCGGUUGGCCAAGGUGGAUGUGAAAGCCUUGAGCUCAACUCAAGAAAUGCAUUCAGGACUGGAUGACUAGAGGACCGGAGAGGAUAGUGGAAUUCCCAGUGUAGUGGUGAAAUACGUAGAGAUUGGGAAGAACACCAGUGGCGAAGGCGGCUAUCUGGACGGUUUCUGACGCUAAGACGCGAAAGCGUGGGGAGCAAACAGG